UACGUAGGGUCCGAGCGUUGUCCGGAGUUACUGGGCGUAAAGCGCGCGCAGGCGGCGGUGUUGGCCCGGCGUGAAAGCCCCCGGCUCAACCGGGGAGAGUCGUCGGGGACCGCACCGCUUGAGGGCGGUAGGGGCUGGUGGAAUGCCUGGUGUAGUGGUGAAAUACGUAGAUAUCUGGAGGAAUACCGGUGGCGAAGGCGGCUAUCUGGCCAUGUACUGACACUGAAGCACGAAAGCGUGGGGAGCAAACAGG
rnacentral:rRNA from 1 species